UCGAGGAUCUUCGGCAAUGGGCGCAAGCCUGACCGAGCGACGCCGCGUGCGCGAUGAAGGCCUUCGGGUUGUAAAGCGCUGUCGAGGGGGAGGAAGCUCCGCAAGGAGUUGACCUAUCCCUGGAGGAAGCACGGGCUAAGUUCGUGCCAGCAGCCGCGGUAAGACGAACCGUGCGAACGUUGUUCGGAAUCACUGGGCUUAAAGGGCGCGUAGGCGGGUCACCAAGUCCGGGGUGAAAGCUUUCGGCUUAACCGGAAAAGGGCCUUGGAUACUGGUGGUCUCGAGGGAGGUAGGGGUCUGCGGAACUUCUGGUGGAGCGGUGAAAUGCGUUGAUAUCAGAAGGAACGCCGGUGGCGAAAGCGGCGGACUGGACCUCUUCUGACGCUGAGGCGCGAAAGCCAGGGGAGCAAACGG
rnacentral:rRNA from 1 species